rnacentral:tRNA from 2 species
GCGGGAGUAGUUCAAUGGUAGAACGGCAGCCUUCCAAGCUGCAUACGACGGUUCGAUCCCGUUCUCCCGCUCCA